AUGAAGGGUCUCGGUCCGAAACGUCGACUGUACUUCUUCCUAUAGAUGCUGCUUGACCUGCUGCGUUCCACCAAAUUUUGUGUGUGCUGUUUCAAUUUCCAGAUCUGUAGAUUUCUUCGUAUUCCCACCUUUAAAAUGUACAGGUGAAACUGUUAACAGGGAUGGUGAAUUGUGAUUAUAAUGCACUGAAACUACAUGCAGGGAGUUGUGGGACAACACAGCUGGUGGGAAAGAUUGGAUCAUCUACAGGACUGAUGAAUGGGUUUGCAAUUCCCGGACUGACAUUUGGUGAGUGGCGAUUUGAAGCAGCUUAUCAUGUUGCAGAUAUUAUCAGUGACCCUACUGUCUUCAUUGUGCAGGGGUAAAGUUUUAGCAUUUGUGUUUGGGAGAGAACUGGACCCACCUGAAAUGCAGUUGUAUUGCUGUUAGGGAGUGUAAAACUUUCCACCUUCCUCAUAAAUCAGUGACAGUUUAGAUUUCCUGCUAUUGGUUUGGACUUCUCUCUUGUGUCCCAUAUACCUUGGCUGCUAUCCAGUAGAUUCCCUGCUCUCUUUCAACAGUGAUUUGCAGUGCGUAGACUAACUGCAAUAUUCAGUAAUACGCAGGGCAUGAGAACUAGAUCACAAAGACCCAUGUGUAUCUGCUGCUUGUCAUUGAGGUUAACAACCCUAUCACACAGGAAGAAGCAACACACAAAAUGUUGAAGGAACUCGCAGAGCUCAACUCUCCAAUCUUUGUUACAAAACAGAAAAAUAAAAAGAAUUCUUGCUGGACAUCUGCAAUAACACAAAGUGCUGGGGAUACUCAACAGAAAAUACGAUGACUCGUACAUAAAAUAUGGCUUUAAUGCGACCGGUGACAGGGGCUCCAAGGCCCCUGUGUGUCAUAUGUGGAGACAAGCUGUUUAAUGAGGCAAUGAAGCCCUCAAAACUGCUUCGGCACCUUGAGUCCAAGCACCCUGCACUUAAAGACAAACCCGUUGAGUUUUGUGAGUGGAAAAAACGUGAGCAAGCGGGAAAGAAGCAAGUGCUGAGAGCCACCACCGCCACAAAUGCUGCUGCUCUGAGAGUGUCGUACUCAGUGGCUAGCCGUAUUGCUAAGGCUAAGAAGCCUUUCACUGUCGUGAAGAAUUGAUUCACCUGCUGCCAAGGACGUGCUGUGAACUGUUGGGAGAAGCUGCAGCUAACAAGAUGGCACAGGUUUCUCUUUCAGCUACCACAGUUUCAAGGAAAAUUGAUGACAUAGUGGAGGACAUCGAAGCACAGCUGUUGAAACGGCUUAACAAGUCACCAUGUGACAAGGAGUGAAUAGCAAAACUCACUGAUCUGUGUGACAUCUUCAACCUGCUCAAUCAUCUCAAUUUGUCACUUCAGGGGAGAAUGACAACUCUCUACAAGUUGGCAGAUAAAGUAUCUGCUUUCAAGGCCAAACUGGAACUGUGGGGACGGUGAGUGGACAGGGGCAUAUUUGACGUUCCCAACAUUAGCUGGGAUUUUGGGAGAGACUGAGGCUGCAUCUUCCUUCUCACAGCUGGUGCGCGAUCACCAUGAACCAGGACGUGCAAAGGAAUGAGUCUGUGACCCAUUUGUGAAUGUCCUCAGUGAAUUAUCCAUGUCAGCGUGGGAAGAAGAUCAACUCCUCAAGCUUGCAAAUGACGAUGGGCUGAAAAGUAUGUUUGGCAUAACAUCUCUGCUGGCAUUCUGGAUCAAAGUCAAGGCUGAAUAUCCUGAAAUAGCCACAAAAGCACUGAAACCGUUGCUUCCAUUUCCAACAUCAUAUCUCUGUGAAGCGGGGUUUUCCGCAAUGAAUGUAAGGAAAACUAAAUUGCAGAAUUGACUGGACAUAAGUAACCCCCUUCGAGUAUCACUGUCUCCCAUCACCCCUCAUUGGGACCGUCUUGCUGCAGGGAAACAAGCCCAGGGCUCCCACUGAUUCAGCGAUAUUGGUGUGUUGCAAUGAUUUUAUAUGUUCAUACGAGGAAAAUAUGUGCUGUGUUUAAUAUCCAAAUGUUACUUAAAAUAUUAUGAUGCUAUUGACUUAUAAGUGAAUUAUAAUUGACUGAUCACUAUAUUCAUGCGAGGAAAAUACGUUUAAUAUACGAAAAUAUGUGUGUUUAAUAUUAAAUUUGUUUAGAUAAACCCUUUAGAAACAAAAUUGAGUGCAUUAGCCACCUGUAAGUGACUUAUAGUUGACUUAUCACCAAUAUUCCUGUUGUGGUUAACACCACCCACCAUUGGCUGGUCCACAAGAAUAUUGUCAAUAUUAAACAGGUCCACGGUGCAAAAAAGGUUGGGGACCCCUGGUUUAAAACCACAAAAGGAAGCUUGGUCACAGCCUAUGCGAGAUACUCCAUCAACAUAAAGCAGCAAAAUAACCACCAUGGAAGUUGUAAAGAGGAGCACCUUUACCGCCCCCCCCCCCCCAAAUGCGAUAUAACAGGUAGAAAGUGGCCACUAACCUGAGGCACAACUUUAAGCACCGACCACUUUUGUAUUUCAAGACCUGCUUUGCUCCUCUGUCCCAACCAGACUUGCACCCGCCCAGUGAAAGGUCACUUCCCUGCUCUUUCUUCCAAUGUACUUCCUUGCACAGACUGAUAAAGAACCACAUCAGCUAAUUAUUUGUGCAAUCUUUUGGCUUAACAUUAUCUUUAGCUAAGGAAGUGAACCAGGAAAUGGCUUUAUUUAGUUAGUUUCGAUGUUAUACAGAUGCUGUGUCGCUCCAGAUGACAAACAACACCAGUCAUAUAAUCAGAAACAGAACUUCAGAAAUUUGAUCACGUGGCACAAGUCCAGGCUUGCUCCCCUCACCACCUAUGACCAAUUAAGGCUUGGUGUCUACCUAUAGUGCACAAGUCUUUUAGACCCUUCCCUGAGUUUACAGCAGGUAUUAGGCAUUUGCUUGUAACAAAUGGAAGCUUAAGCCUGCCUCUAUCUGCUAACCAGCCUUACCUCAGACAAUGGGAUUAGCAGCAACACUCACAGACAUUCCUAAGAAGCACAGAGGGUAGCACACACAAUUCCCAAAACAAGUCCUAGUAUAACAGUGAACAAGAAAACAUACAGUGCAUACAACCAAAUUAAAAGCCUUCUGUAAAUUUCCAAUAUCGACAGGGAAUAAACAUCAUUUUAAAGGCAGAAGUUGAAAACUAUGAAUCCCUCUUCUACUCUUGAAACAGGAUAUCCUCAUUCACGUCAUUUACAAACACAACUUAUUGACGACAUGUAAUGACAUGCCACUGCUUAAAGCAGUCAGAUGUGACACAACAGCAGGAAAUGAGAUCAGUAUUUAUGUUUUCACAAAAGCCUUGGAACAGAUGCCAUAUUUUGGAAACAGAAAUAAAGUGUUCCCCCAUUUGUAUUUCCAGUGUCAGUCUUGAAAUAUCCCGUCAUUCUGUUUUGGAGCUGUGGUUCAAGUGCGUAGAGGCGGUUUCUAUGGCAAUACAGUAAGAAGUAAUGAGCGAUCAAUGCAAGGACAUUCAAAGCAGAGGGGAGGCAGUGCUGAUCAAUGCCAGCACAAGAUGAUGGGGUGCCAGUGGGCAUGUUGAACAAAGCUGAGAGGGGAUUAGUGCAGAGAUUAUAUUGAAGCAAAAGAUUGACAAAAAAAAAUGACAAUUAUUUACCUUCUAAAGUAAAGCAAAACCUACAUUUCAAAGAUAAAUUGAUUAUAGAAAGCAUUUAUGCUUUCUUCUAAAGAAAAUAAUUGUUCAAGUAUUUUUUUCUUUUUUCAACUGACGUUACAGAAUUAUAUUUCCAAAUUAAAACAACAAAUCUGAAAUACAACAAAUCCAAUCAAAUUUACACCUAGCACUUGUCAGGAUAACCAUAUAACAAUUACAGCAUGGAAACAGGCCAUCUCGGCCCUUCUAGACCGUGCCGAGCGCUUACUCUCACCUAGUCCCACCUACCUGCACUCAACCCAUAACCCUCCAUUCCUUUCCUGUCCAUAUACCUAUCCAAUUUUACCUUAAAUGACAAAACUCAAACCUGCCUCAACCCCUUCUACUGGGAGCUCAUUCCACACAGCUACCACUCUGAGUAAAGAAGUUCCCCCUCAUGUUACCCCUAAACUUUUGUCCCUUAACUCUCAACUCAUGUCCUCUUGUUUGAAUCUCCCCUACUCUCAAUGGAAAAAGCCUAUCCACAUCAACUCUAUCUAUGCCCCUCAUAAUUUUAAAUACCUCUAUCAAGUCCCCCCUCAACCAUUUACACUCCAAAGAAUAAAGACCUAACUUGUUCAACUUUUCUCUGUAACUUAGGUGCUGAAAUACAGGUAACAUUCUAGUAAAUCUCCUCUGUACUCUAAUUUAUUGACACCUUUCCUAUAAUUUGGUGACCAGAACUGUACACAAUACUCCAAAUUUGGCUUCACCAAUGCUUUGUACAAUUUUCACAUUCCAUCCGAACUCCUAUACCCAAUGCUCUGAUUUAUAAAGGCCAGCUUAUCAAAAGAUAUUACUUCCAUUUUCAUUCCUAUGGUACUUAUAUUUUCCUGGACCACAACAGGUCAAGAUAUAGGAGCAGAAUUGGGCAUUUGGUCCAUCGUGACUGUUCUGCAAUUUGAUCAUGGCUUGAUUUAUUUUCCCUCUCAACCCAAUUACCCUGCCUUCUCUGCAUAACCUUCGCUGUCCUUAAUAAGUACUAUUAUCUCUGCUUUAAAUAUACCCAAUGAGUUGGAUGCCACAACCAUCUGUGGUAAUGAAUUCCACAAAUUUACCACACUCUGGCUAAAGAUAUUCCUUCUAAUCUCAAUUCUAAAGGGACAUUCUUCUAUUCUGACAUUGUGCCCUCAGGUCCUAGACUAUCCUAUUGGAAACAUUCUCUCCAUAUCCACGCCAUCAAGGCCUUUCAAUAAUCAAUAGGACUCAAUGAGACCCCCACGCCCCCCAUUUUUCUAAACUCCAGUAAGUACAGGCACAGAGUUAUCAAACACUCCUCACACAUUAACCCUUUCAUUCCUGGGAUCAAUCUCAUAAACAUUCCCUGGUGGACCCUCUCCAAUGCUGGGACAUCCUCAAAAGAGCUCACACUGUGCCAAAUGUGGUCUAACCAAUGCUUUAUUACAUUCUUGAUUUUAUAUUCUCAUCCUUUCGAAACGAAUGCUAACAUUGCAUUUGCCUUCCUUAUUACCGACUCAACCUGCAAGUUAACCUUUAGGAUUGACUGGCUCGGUUAGCAUGUUCAGUGAUGUACCAGACACCCACUUAUUAACUUUCAAUCCGUGAGCAUUCAAGGUUCAUCAGUCAAGCAGUGGAAUAUUUAUCUAUAACUUCACCACUCCUGGCAGAAAAAGC